CCUGUUCUUCCUACAUCGACCCCGGCGUUCCCUAAAAAAAAAAACCUCGACCCCGGCGGUGCUCGCUCCGGUGGCGGCGGCGAUCCUGGAUCCCAGUAGCCCACCACAUCGCGCUUCCAGUUAUGGAAUUCCAGGUCUCUCCUAACGCCGUCAUGCCCCCCCCCCCCUCCCCACCCACCGGGGUGCGGCAGCCUUCGAGAUCCGCGGUCUCCUCAUUUGCGUCGGCGAAGGAUUACAAAUGGCAUGAUUAAUCGACCUGUAGGAUGAUCCCGUGAGAUAAAAGGGGAAGUCAGAGCGCCUAUUGAUUUGCCUUUUGCCAGAAAAAAAAAGGAACCCCUAGUGCUGUGUCUUGAGGAGUUCAGCGAGGAGGAAUGCACCUUCAGAAAAUAUUGAAGUGGAGAGAAAUCACCGGAACAGCAGAAUAAGGUAACCAACAGAUUACUGUAUUAUUAUUAGCUGUUACAAUCCAAACAAUUUUCGAUGUGAUUCUGAUAUGUUGCGAAUACCUGAUAGUGCUAUUACAUGGCGAUGACCAAAUAUUCGUGCAUCAGGUGCUAGUAAGGUUGAAAAGG